UGAAACUUGUGACUUUAAAAAUGGUUUCAAAGAAAUGUGCUAGACAAUACUCAGGCUUGUUGGCAUUUCUUUAUUUUGCGAAGGGGUCUUCUCUCUAGCAAUGAAUUCAUCUUCCAAAAGCUCCCGUAACAUGUUGAUGUUACAAACACUUGUGGAGACAGCGUAUCUUGGGGUGAAGGAGGGUUAAUGCUCUUCCCGACUGUAAUCAAUGGGAGCAGCAUGAUUUACAGAAUCUCCCCUGGCUGUCAGGCAGCCCGCGUUAUCAGCGUGCUCAUCUUGGCCUCGGCAGGGCUGACGCGUGGUGGAGACGCCGGAGCCCUCGUUACACUAGUUUUACCUGGCAGGCAGUGCUAGGUCUGCGCAAAGAUAAAAUGAAAAGUCCCUGGGCAACCUCAGGCUAUCUGUCUCUGCUGCACAUGCUGCUGGCUAUGACUUUGUAGUUUAUGUAAAAAUAGUUGUUUUCUGAAAUGAAAUGAAAGCAAGACGAAGGGGAAUAAGCAGAGGCUGCAACUGAGAAAGAACUUAAAACACAGAGGUCUAAGUCUACAAGAAUUCUAAUGGGCGAGCUGCUUAGUGGUUAACUGACAGGCACCAGGCAGCCACGUGAUCUUCCCCCCUUAUGUCUUGGUCAGUCAAGGCACACAAAUGCUUGCUGCACGUAGAAAUGCAUCAAUGAUUUCAAAAAUGGAAAUAAUAAUGUACAGAUUUAUUUUUUUUUCCUUAUAUAGGCACAGGAUGUCUGCUUCCUCCUAUCCAGAUAUUUCCAAAUGAACUUUUCUUUUAAAACCACAUGCACGUUUUAGGUGCCCAACAUUAUUUUUUGCUUUGGGCAGCCCAACUCCUUCUUUCUUCUGUAUGGAUUCAUGGUCAGCUAUACUCUGUCAACUUCUGAACUUACGUUAAAAAUCUUUGGCACUAAUUAGCCUUCUAUAGAGAACAGCAGUAGUCUCCUCUCACGAAAAAAAAUACACCAUAUCUUAAUCAAUCGUGCUUAUGUAAGUUACAAAAUCUUUCUGCUAAGGAAAAAUUGCAUUUUUAGAAUUAAGCAUUGCCUAACUUUUUUUUGAAGCCAACUGUACAGAACUCUUGUCACUUAAACAUUUUUCACAUCAAUUCUCUUCUUUACUUACAAAUUAAAGUUUGAAGAUGGAGAUAAAAAAGGGGAAGAAAUGAUUUUUCUCUGUUGCUGUUCAUUUGCUAACACUGUUGCAUAUUUAAGGUAUUUUCAUUUUGUGAAAUCCCAGCACUGGAGGUUAGGAUGAGCUCUCCCUGGAUACCCAAGUAAAGAAAAAAGUCAGAGAACAGAGGGAGUGAGAGAACGUGGGACCCAUGUCCAGUAAUGGCUCAGUCACUGGGCUCAGGGAAGGCCCAAUAUCUCUUUCUAUCGGUGGCUUGAGAAUUGGCUUGCCACCAAGACAGAGAACAGGAACUAAGCUGACAGAUUGGAACCUGAACUGGGAAGAGUAACCGUCCUGUUCUGGGGAUGGACAGAACAGUGAAGGGUUUCCUAGCAAUGAGGACUCCAGAAUCUCUACAUAAGAGAGGUCUAAAGUCAUUGUCUUCAAGCUACACUUUCAUAGCAAAUAUACUGUUUUAAUUAAGAUUAGAUUUAAGGUUAGAUUUUAUUUGGAAAGAUGGGGGUGUAUGGCCAAGGGAUAUUUAUGGCUGGACCCUUUUCAAGAGGCUCACUGACAUUGAUGGAUAUUAAUAAAGUUGAUGCUAUAAAGUUUCACCAGGAAUGGCAGAAGGAUGAACCUGUCAAGUAAGCACAGGCCGUUCCAAAGCCUAGUCUAGGAAUCAUUGCGCCAGACUGGGAAAAGUCCUUCUCAUCUACAUGGUACAGGAACUGCAGAGAUUUCUAUGGAAAAAUAAUGAACACAUUUAAGAAAAGUUGAAAUCAGAGUUUUCUUCUAAGAGAAAAUGAAAACAGUAAUAACACCCAGAGAGAUGGCCUGAAACUUGGUUGUUUCAAAGAAAGCUGUUGGCCCAUCUCCCCACUUCACCUGACUCCCAUUCCCACACAGGCAACCCAACACAUUCAAGGUCAUGUCGGAACAGCUAACCUGACAGGGUGGGAUGCGGCCUACUGCUCUGAAGACUCGAAAUGCUGACGGCACCCUAUUAGCUUUCUGUUCACUUCAGUCAACUUCCUUCUCAUGGUCUAUCCUCUUCCAUAUCGUGAUGCCUUCCUUCCAUGUAUCAUCCAUCUUACAUCAUUGUGUAUAUCACACUAAGUGUCAAUAAAG
rnacentral:lncRNA from 1 species